UACGGAGGGGGCUAGCGUUGUUCGGAAUUACUGGGCGUAAAGCGCACGUAGGCGGCUUUGUAGGUUAGAGGUGAAAGCCCGGGGCUCAACUCCGGAAUUGCCUUUAAGACUGCAUCGCUCGAAUUGUGGAGAGGUAAGUGGAAUUCCGAGUGUAGAGGUGAAAUUCGUAGAUAUUCGGAAGAACACCAGUGGCGAAGGCGACUUACUGGACACAUAUUGACGCUGAGGUGCGAAAGCGUGGGGAGCAAACAGG
rnacentral:rRNA from 1 species